rnacentral:lncRNA from 1 species
ACUAGGGGAGGUUCGUGAGAUGAGAUGCUCAAGAACCCCCACUUAACGUCCAAGCAGCUCCCAUACAGACGAAUUGGUCGGACCGUCGUGCGCCCGCCUUCUUACGCUUGGUUGUUGCGCGAGGAAACUAGACACCAAGGACGCUAGUAGGUGAUGUGCAUGGGGGUAAGCCCACGAGACAGAGCUCGAUCGCUUGGAUUUUUCAACACUGCAGGGACAAAUCCGAGCACAAGCACCGUGUGCAGUUCCCGUUGUCGUGAGGUACAAGGGGAAGCUGGCGAGCGUGGAGCUUUGAAGAUCCUCCCAGGGCGAUGCAUGGGGAUUCCAAAUGGGCGUGGUCAUAGUCAUGGUUCAACAGUAAUUCCGCCAGCGCGGAGUAUGGGGACUUCCAGUUGGGCAUGGGUGGGAUCCCUCCACUGAGGCCACGACGCGACUCAACGCGGGCUUCCACUUAGGAGGCUCCGAGGCAUGUACAUCUCCAAACUCAUUAUUACAUGCGAGUGUCACGGGCGGCCAUUACUAAGGUGUCAAAUACCCCAGGCACAAGGCUUAGGAUCUCCUAGUCUUAGUCUUGAGACGGGUUUCACCUCAUUCUUUGCACAUAAGCGUGCGUAUGGGACCUGGGACAUGGGGGCGACACACGCUGGGUGAUUGUCGCGAGGCCACUACAUGAAGGGGUUUGGCACUGACGACCCGAGGAGCUAACGUGUACGGGGGUGAGCCCUUCAAAUAGAGCUCAGUCACUCGGGUUUAGCGACGCUUCAGGGACGGACCCAAGCAUAUACUCCGUACUAGGUUGCUUCACGGAAUGAGCAGGCGAAAAUCACCCGCUGUAUAGCGACCGAGGCGAACAAGCGCCAAACCAGCAGAAGUGCAUUUCAAGCGAACACAGAAGCUUUGAAACGAAAUAAUAG